rnacentral:lncRNA from 1 species
GGAAACAAGCCAGGCACUAUGCCAAGUUCAGAAUGAACAUGUUUUGAACCGCACGCAAAUAUAAAUCUAUACUCAGUCUUAAAGCAUAUGUAGAAAAUCUAGAUUAUGCAGCACAAAAGACCACACCAGGUAUUGUUAUUCAAGCUUGAGCAAUGCAACAAACUUCUUUUGUGUCCACCGAGGUGAAUUUAUAUUUUCUGUUUGCCUUGUGUAUAAUGCCAACACCCCCCGCCUCCCUCUUUGCCUUCUUUCUCUAGUUGUUAUUCCCCCUUUUCAUUGAUCAAUCGUGCCUAGUACUCCCCUAACUCGAUCCAUCUACCUAACUCGAUCCAUCUACCAAACUGAAUUCUACAUCUUCUUCUGCAUAUUUCCAACAUCUACAAAAUUCUAGCAUCCUCCAUCACCCUCUAUCUACUUUGCCUUCCUCCAUCAGCAUUUAGUUCCACAACCCCCCAUUUCAUCAAUAACCACUAUGAAUUUUGUACUGCCAGAUUCCAACAUCUAGAUGAGCACAUUGAAUUUGUUCAAAACCAACUCUUUGAAUUUCAAUGGCAAGGAUCCUUGAAAGCUCAAAGUCAUUUUCUAUUUUUGAAAUGCUUUUAUAUAAUCUGUAAUACUUAAUUAAUUCCUUAUCAUUUUGUUUCCAGUUUUGUGUAUCCGUUCUCUUUGUCUGUUUGUGAAGACAACUAGGGGGAGAAGUUAUUUGUUUGAUUUGGUUGUAUUGGUAGCUUUAACUCUUCUAUUGUUGCUUUGCACCAAACUACCUUGAACACUUUUGAAUUUUUUAAGUUUUUCUGCUUUUCUGGUUAUGCAAAAACUAGUUUUUUAAGUGUGCUUUCUUAAAUCUAUUUUACCGUGUUGUUAUACUUGUAUUGUGUGGUAUAUAAUUCUGUUUUGCAGGAAUUCUUAAGUUCAAACUCUACAACACAAACAAACCAAGGAUUUUUCUUCAUCAAAUAGAGAGAGAUUGUUGAACAAGGUGUUUUGAUGCUUCCAAAUCUGCUUUGAAGACUUGAAGAACCUGUUGUUGUUUUUGUAUGUGUUGUUUAGUUGUUUUUGAAUUGUCAAUUCACAUCUAAUAUUGAUCCAAACUCACUUGAUUGUUUAUCUCUUUUGAAAGAAGUGUUUUCUAAAAAGUUGUGUAAAUUUUAGUUAGUUGUUUCGAGCUUUCAAUCAGUUGAAAAAACUGUUUUUCAAGGUCUUGUGACUACAACAAGUUUUUUAUCCAGUUAAUUUGUUGAAACAAUUGGUUGAUUGACACUUAGUGUUUUUCAAAGGUUUUGAAAAAGAUUUGCUUUCUUUUGCCUUUUUCUGUAAGGCAUAAACAGUCAAUUAUUUCGAUAAAACAAAUGGUUGUUUUAUGUGAAAUCCUUAACAGCAAAAUAAAUCAAUUAGUUGUUUUUCAAAUAUAU